UCCGCCUUAUAAAAGAAAUCGGUGUCACCAAACGUUUCACUUACAUCCUUUCCUCUCUUUUAGCCACCACCCUUUCACGUGUCCUUCUCUUACCUUGUUCGCUCCGUCUGUUUCCGAGGAAAAGGAAAAACCUCAAUUGGGUUCCUUUGUUUUUCUUAUUUCUUGUUCUCAUAACAAGUUUCUUUCUGGGAGUUACGUGAAGUUUUCACCUUGGUUGAAGGGGUGACGAAGAGAUUAGGGUGGUGCUAUUUGAAAAAUGGAAGGAAGGAAGCAAAUGGGUUCUUCUUCUUUUACUUCUGAGCUCUUUGGGUCCAAUCAGUCCCAUAAAUCUUCUGCAACUGGAAUUUUUGAAUCUAUGUUUUCUCCACCGUCUAAGGUGAGAUGUUUGUUUGCUUUGAUUUUUAAUAGUUCAAUUUAAUUCAAUAUUUUUUGCUUAUGUGCAUUUCAUGCUUGAACGAUUUUGUUGUGUUUUAUAAUGGCUUUGUUGUCCUGCUAUGGAUAAUGGUUUGUGAUUUAAAGUUUGAUGUGCCGUUAUGCAACAUAACUUCACCAUCAUCAUCAUUUUGUUAUGAUUCAGGUG
rnacentral:lncRNA from 1 species